rnacentral:rRNA from 1 species
AUGGCUCAGCCUCAAGGUAAACUGAUGGACACGAUCAGAAGGCCGGUUGCAGCAGCUUCAUCUCUUCAUCAUUCAGCGGCUAAGCAUCUGGUCACCUUGGCCCAGAGGAAUGGAGUUAACAGGAGGUGCCUCCUCACUCUGCUGGUAUCCGCCGCAGCCAUACCUGAGGCCGGUGAAUCAAGAAAGGCCCUAUUGCAAGAUUAUGUGAAGAGAUCAAAGGAAAACAAAGAAAAGAAUGACAAGGAGAGGCGGGACGCCGUUUACAAAAGGAAUUACAAGGAUUAUUUCGGUUUCAUGGAAGGCCCGGUCAGAGAGAAGCCGGCGGAAGAGCUCACGGAGUCGGAGAAAGGAAUUCUUGCGUGGCUUGACAAGAACAAGUAG